UACGAACCGUACAAACGUUAUUCGGAAUCACUGGGCUUAAAGGGUGCGUAGGCGGCCAUGUAAGUGAGGUGUGAAAUCCCUCGGCUCAACCGAGGAACUGCGCUUCAUACUGCAUGGCUUGAGGGAGACAGGGGUAAGCGGAACUGAUGGUGGAGCGGUGAAAUGCGUUGAUAUCAUCAGGAACACCGGUGGCGAAAGCGGCUUACUGGGUCUCUUCUGACGCUGAGGUACGAAGGCUAGGGUAGCGAACGGG
rnacentral:rRNA from 1 species